CCUACGGCGUGCUGCAGUGGGGAAUAUUGGACAAUGGGCGAAAGCCUGAUCCAGCCAUGCCGCGUGUGUGAAGAAGGCCUUCGGGUUGUAAAGCACUUUCAGUGGGGAAGAAAGCCUUGGGGCUAAUACCCUCGAGGAAGGACAUCACCCACAGAAGAAGCACCGGCUAACUCCGUGCCAGCAGCCGCGGUAAUACGGAGGGUGCGAGCGUUAAUCGGAAUUACUGGGCGUAAAGCGCGCGUAGGCGGUCUGAUAAGCCGGUUGUGAAAGCCCCGGGCUCAACCUGGGAACGGCAUCCGGAACUGUCAGGCUAGAGUGCAGGAGAGGAAGGUAGAAUUCCCGGUGUAGCGGUGAAAUGCGUAGAGAUCGGGAGGAAUACCAGUGGCGAAGGCGGCCUUCUGGACUGACACUGACGCUGAGGUGCGAAAGCGUGGGUAGCAAACAGGAUUAGAUACCCCGGUAGUC
rnacentral:rRNA from 1 species